rnacentral:rRNA from 1 species
UACGUAGGAUGCAAGCGUUGUCCGGAAUUACUGGGCGUAAAGCGUGCGCAGGCGGUGAUGUAAGACAGAUGUGAAAUCCCCGGGCUCAACCCGGGAACUGCAUUUGUGACUGCAUCGCUGGAGCGCGGCAGAGGGGGAUGGAAUUCCGCGUGUAGCAGUGAAAUGCGUAGAUAUGCGGAGGAACACCGAUGGCGAAGGCAAUCCCCUGGGCCUGCACUGACGCUCAUGCACGAAAGCGUGGGGAGCAAACAGG